UUCUCCUUUCUCUUUUUCUUUCCUUUCCUUCCUUUUCCUCUUUUCCUUCGAUUCUUUCUUUCUUAACCUUAACGACCAAAUCCCAUUUCUCUCCUCUUUCACGAGGCUAAGGUUAAAUAUAAGCAUGGAUGGAACAAGUCACUCACCUCACGAGUGCAUUUCAGCGUGAUGCGGCAAUGCGGCUGGACGGCGUUUUCUAAAAUUACGUGAAAAAGAAGAAUUAACCGAAGAAAGAUUCAAAGGACGAUCAUAUACUUUGCCUUCCAAUCGACAAUCGAGUAACGUUCUACUUUCAGCCGUUUUUGAUAGCGCAUGAAACACGCUAAAAAAAGGGAAUAUGUACAUAUUGAAAAGGGCGAACAACUUCUUACCCAAACUAUCGCCUGGUGUGAAAGAUACUAUUGAAACUCAAGCAAGAAAUUUUCUUUUAAAGAUUCGUAUAAAUACAUAGGUCCUUAUCUUGAAACGAGCGAGACGGGUGAAAUGAUCCAGUUGUCGAUUCACGACGAACAUGAUCAUCGAGGGAGACCUUGCGGUAAUGUGCUUACGCGUCGCGGGGAGAGAAACCCCGCGCCAAUAAUCCGUAACAUUAUAUAACUGUUGGUAAUGCUCCAUUCGCGCGUGAAACGAAUCGCGUAGUAACUAAGUACUACGCCUGUAUACAAUAAAUAUUACUUGUGCUGUUGCUUGUUGCACAUUGCACAUUGUACAAGAAUAUCUAAAGUUUCAAAUCUCACCAUUCUGUCUAGACACAUACUCAGGUACAUUUAUGCGUUCGCGAUCUUUACGUAGCUGUUCCAAUGCUUUCUAAAAAUCCACGCCUUAAUACAUGGCCUAUUAUCGUAUAAACGAACUGUUAUGCUUCACUAGGUAUAUGCUAAUGAAAAAUACUUGUUAAAAAGUAUUGCACUGUCGCGAAUUGAAUGUAUCAGAACAACAUGGUGAUGAAGAAGGUUUACAGAAUUGAUACAGGUCGUAUUAGCUAGGUUAUAACCUACUUCAAACACAUGCAUGAACGACAACACGAUUUUCUCUCUGCUAUUUCGGGAAUUUUCUUAUCCAAGGAUAAGAUAACUACUUAAAUACUGGCUCAACGUUCGACAAAUUUCGUAAAGCAAAUAAUAGUUUUUCUGCUAUGCUUUACACUAGACUGCAUAAAACUUCAUCAAGGCAACGUCUUUGAUAACGAACAUAUUUUAUGGCAGAAAACCAAGAUUUUAUACGAAAAAAGAGAAUUAUUUUCUUUUUUUGUGAAGCGCGCGAAAGCGUGACUAUGUACGAUGCAGCUUUCUCUCUCUCUUUCUCUCUCUUUGUUGUACGCUUUACCAUAAGCUUUCACGGUCUCGCGACACCAACUUAGUUCCAGUAUGAACGCGAGACGCGUCCAAGUCCAAACUCAUCGUAUCGUACGAAGUAUAUACGUACAUACGGCAAGCAAAGAGGGAAGACGUUCAGAGCGUGCACUAUGCACUACAACGGUUAGGCACACACACGUACACACGCACGCGCAUUUCUGCGUAUGCAAUAUAGUGAAUAAGGAGUAAGGAAUACAUAUUAUUAAGUAGAAAAUUCAAUCCUUUAUUAUUGUAAAAAAUGAACAAGACAUAAUAAAAAGAUACGUUCGAAAUUAUAUAUAUAUUAUAAAGUAUUUUUUUCUUUUUCUUAUGCAAAGAAAAUCGUGCUGUUUUAGAAUGAACCAAGAAUGCAUGAAGAACAACAUGGAUAGGCUAUUUUUGGGCUUCUGUUUAUACCGAUAUAAAAUGAAUAAGACAAGAUAGAAACUUCUCUAACAAAUCAAGGAAGGGUACUUAUGAAACAUUGAAUUAAUGGAAAUCGCGAUAAAAAUGUGAUACGCAGAUCGAAAACGAUAUGUACUAAACAGGAAUCAAUCGUAUCAUAAAGUAAUGUUUAAAAGUUAAGAAUUGUAACUCCAUAACUAAAAAAGCGCGUGCGAUAACUAGUAUUCAGUAUAAUAUAUAA